ensembl:lncRNA
GUGUGAGGCCCAUGGUCUUCCAGCAUUCCCCUCUGCUGGAUUCAUCCGUGUUAAAGAGGGAUGAGAAGGCAUAGGGACCGAGUGCCAUGUUUCCAGAGCUGCUAGAGUGGGCUCAUCCCACUUGCUCACUCCACUUUUCCCUUGGUAUCGUCAUUCAUUGGGAUACAAAGCUGCAAAGCUUCAUGGCAUUUAAUAUUGUGGAAGAAAUGAAUCUGAAUAAAGAAUCACAGUUGAAUCUUUGCUAACUUUGAUGAAUUAGCACCAAGGAACUCUUCAGGAUGUCAUUUUUUAAGCUUUUUGAAUGAUUGGGUUUCAAUGGUUCCCUCUAAAGAAUUUUAAUUUUGAGAGCUGAAUAGACAAAUGUGCACACACAAAUCAUUUAGUGUCCACCUCCCAAAGAAAAGAAAAGUGCUUACGGAGGGAGAUUUCACCUUUCUACUUCAUCACCUUCCUGCUAGAGUACAGUUUUUCUUUGUUUAAAGUCUAACAUUGAAGAAGUUCUUCUAAGUAGAUAGUUUUAAAAGUAGGGAGCAUUUAAGAAUAAUAAUAAUUAAAAAAACCUACCUGAGGGAUUAUCCAUUACAUCUAAUAGUGUGAAAAAGAAAACCAACCCUAGUAAUAAUGGAGAUGAUUUUACUAAUGAUAAUAGCAAAUAUUAGUUGCAGGCUUGCUAUAUCUCAUGAACUGUGUUAAAUAUUUUACACAUAGAACCUCAUUUGAUGCAUCAACAAAUCCACUGAGCAGAAACUAUUGUUAUUUGCAUUCUAUAUAUUAGGAAAUAGGUUUAGAGAGGUGAAGCAACUCUCUCAAUAACAUAAACUGUUAAGUGGUAAAGUUUGCACAGUAAGUAUGGAGUUCUUGGUUCUAACUCACACUCACCAACUGAUAUCAGUCAAGACUUAAGCUUCCAGUCUCAGUUUCCCCAACUGUGAAAUGGGAAUAAUUAGGACUCAUCUCAGGCUUUCCAGGUGGCACUAGCGGUAAACAACCUGCCUGCCAAUGCAGGUAGAUGUAAGAGACGCAAGUUUGAUCCCUGGGUUGGGAAGAUCCCCUGGAGAAGGGCAUGGCAACCCACUCCAGUGGGUUCUUCUUGCCUGAAGAAUCCCAUGGACAGAGGAGCCUGGGGUGCUACAGUUUUUAGGGUUGCAAAGAGUUGGACACAACUGAAGCAACUUAGUACACACACACAAACACACUCAGGACGCAUCUCAGAAUGAGACACUAUAUGUGUAAAAACAUCACCUA